rnacentral:tRNA from 1 species
GAGUUCGUGGUCUAGUUGGCUAUGAUACCGCCCUGACACGGCGGUGAUCGGGAGUUCGAAUCUCCCCGGACUCA